GCGUCUUCCUUUAUAAAAUGAGUUGUAAUUUUUUAAGAGCGAGUAGAUGGACACAGUCAAAGUUGCAAUUGAUUUGAAAGGAAAUGGACAUUUUUGAGGAGAUGCCCGAGAGGGGAAAGACUUCAUUUUAAUCCCGUAUUCGCUUCACUGGUCUGGAACCUGAGCAGCUCUAUCGUCUAAGGUAAGAGGAAUUAAAUGUUUUUUUUUAAUGUUUAAUCUUAGCAUUCAAUGGAGAGAAUACCUAUGAAAGAGAAAGUGUGCAUAGGCUACUCAAAUCAUGCAUGAUUAACGCGCACACUCGCAGUGUGGAUUCAAUGAGGCCCAUAUUUAAAUAUAUCGUUAUAUGUAGGACAAAAAUAUUAAAUUACAUAACAAGUCAGCAUCACACAGAGAGCAACCUAAUUGGCACGAUAAGAUUGAAAAUAAAUUGAAUUGUGGAAACUUACGGACUCAAGGCGGCCGUCAGCUUCAGGCUGUGGUGACGGUUCGGGUAAAGAGGCAUCAGGUGGGACAGCCGUAGUGCUGGCCGCUGCAGGAGUGCUACAGCUGGCAAACACCGAAACACCAAAUGUUUCCUGUCCCAAAGACCGAGAAGAAGGCGUCGUACUCCAUCCGCUUGGUGGGCAUCCAGUCCUCAAAUACUGAAGGUGCGUCCGUUUAAUGUGGCGAAAGAAAGAGUUAAAAACUCUAAAGUCCUGUUCACAUCCAUCAAUACCACAGUAAACCCCAAAAUCCGGGCUGCGACUGUGACUUUUAUUAAUGUGGCUAAGGAGUACUUUAAGACUUAAAGCAACAAAGACGAAACAUAUCAUACACCUCCACGCCGCCAUGAUGCACCGUUGUUGUCGCGGGCUAAUGAUCCAGGGGUGGAUGGGGAGGGGGGCACUCAUGAAAUAAUUUGUUAUUAUUUUAACAAUACAUUCCUCUAAUUAUAAAUGCGACUUAAUUAAUUUUACGAUGGUAAGUUUUUUAAAAAUAAUAUUUUGCUAACAUGUUCAUGUUUACGUCCGAUCAUUUCUGCGCAUCCUCAGUUCAUGUCCUCCAACGGUCCCACCUCAAUGACGUCAGUGUUCGCGGUUCACCGCUUGAGUAACUGAAAGAUUUGGGUGCGUUACAUUUGACGAAGAAGUGCAAGAAGAGCGGCUCAAUUUCUACGGUACCGCCUGUUAAUGCUUCAGGGAGCUGAUGAAUCUAAGAUGGAUACUUUUGACGAUGCCACUCUAUCGGUGUUGGAGGCUGCCAGUGUUGAUGAGGAGGCUUUGAAAGGCCUUAGCCGGGAUGACCUGAGGGAUCUUUUUCCUGGCCCAGAGAAUUUCCUCAAAAGAAAGAAACUUUGGAAUUUCAUCAGUGAAAAUUGUGAAAAUACCACGGACCAAGAUGCCAACAAUUGUGCCAUGCCACCAUGCCAGCCUCAAACCUCAACCCCCAUAUCUGCUGAGAAAAAAAUGAAAAUGCCAGACCCUCCAGAGUAUGUGGUGUACACAGAUUCAGAGUUAGACAUGGUGCGUAGUCAAUACUUUGCACUGCUCUGCAAUGGAAAGGAAAAAAAUUACAAACUGUCCAAGGAGCUAUGUUGCAGACUUGUAAGGAACACAAUAACCAGUAUGGUUGCUAUCCUGCGUGCUAGUCCCAUGGGGAAAGAAGUCAGUUACCCGUCAAAAUUGGAAAUAAGAGCCAUGUCACAGAAGAUUAUAGACUAUUACCCAAUGUUACGGGAUGAUGAUCCAAACAUGCCUUAUCUGACUAUCUACACCAAAAUGUACAAGCGACUCCAAAAUAUGAGAUCCCCACGGAAGAGGCAAGGCUCUGUACCACAAAGAGGAGUGGCAAAGACAGCUCUCUUCAGUGCAGACAACCAAGACAUGGAGACGGAUUGGACAGACACAAGCAACUCAAGUGAUAAUACCUUACUUCUUGAGAGCAAUGAUGACCUUACCGAGGACAACUCCAGUGAAGCAUUCCCAGCACAUCGACCCCCCUCUGUGCCAAGGAAGCCAAAGACCAAAACCUUCCUGCUGCCAUCCGCAUCAGCCUCAGGCUCCUCACUCAGGACUGUGAUCGCUUCACCAACCACGCCUGCAAAGGAUGAUGUUGUCGGCCAGGACAGUCUGAAAAUGCAGGCUAGGCACUACAAAACCUUGAGCAACAUGUACAAUAAGCCAAAUGCAAAACCCAAUCAAAGUGAUGUUGCUCAAGUUUUAGACCUUGAGUUUAAGGCCAGACGGGCUUUCAUUGAUGCAGAUGUUACAAGGGAAGAAGACCGACCUGCAAAAAUCUUUGAGGCAUAUCCAUGCUUUAGAGAUGUUCGAAAUGCAAUGGAUGAGCUGCGGCGCAUAGUAGGUGGCACCAACAGCAGAUACAUCGAGGAAGUGAAAGGAAGAUGGGCAGACUUUUGUGCCAAGGUGCAGUUCUAUGGUGUGUGGAAGAAAGCCCUGAAACCCCCCUUUCCAUUGGAUGUCCGUGGAGUGGAGUUCACGCUUGCCCUCUUCAAUGCACUCCCAUCCCUUUUCCCCUCACCAACUUCACCACCAAAGAAGCUUGGAAAUAGCUGUGAGGCACUUCUUCAUGUCCUGAAGUCAGGCGAAGACCCUGCCCUGUACCUGGAAAAGCAUCCUCUCUCCUCCCCAGUUCUGCUUUCUGAUGGCUCAACCACCAUUGUGGCUGUGGGUAAUGUACCUGUGACCACCCUCCCUCAGGAAGAUUUCUCAGACGGGAUGUUGGUGUUAAUGGCAUAUUACUACACUUUGCACUUAAGAUAUCCAAAAUGUGUUGCAACGCUCCUGUCAGUUAUUCAAACAGAGGUAAUUGGUGACACAAUCCACGAUCAAGAUGCCACUAGUGCUUACAGGAAAGCAAUGGCUGAUUGGAAGUCUUUCAUUGAGAAGUAGCUGAGUAUUUUGUCAUGCCAGUUCUUAUUGUUAGCUGUGAGUUCUUAUUGUUAGCUGUGCCUAAUAAUAGUUUUGUGUUGCACAAGCUUAUACAGUCACUGAGUUAUUACCUCAUUUAGGCCUGUAUUUAAAAUGAUAGUUAAGGAAAAAUCCAUAACUGAGGGCUGAGAAGUGUUUUUGUUUUUUGCCCUUUUGCUUUUAAUUUCUUUUAUUUUUAUGGAAAAGUAUUCAAAUGUCUAUAGCAAACUUGACUUGCUGAUGUUAAAUAAAUGUUGUCUUAAGCCAUGUUAUUUCUGCACCAUUAUUCUAAAAAAGGACAGGCUUUAGAUUUUAAGAUGCUCAAAGUAAGAAAACAAAAUGGGUAAUUGCUUAUAUUUAG
ensembl:lncRNA